GCUGGCGACCAUGGCAAGAGUGAACCACCUGAUCCCUUCCCGAACUCAGAAGUGAAACCUCUUAGCGCUGAUGGUAGUGUGGGAUUACCCAUGUGAGAGUAAGUCAUCGCCAGCU
rnacentral:rRNA from 1 species